GGAUUAGAUACCCUGGUAGUCCACACCGUAAACGCUGUCUAUUAGCUGUUUGUGUAUCUGAUACGUGAGUAGCGAAGCUAACGCGCUAAAUAGACCGCCUGGGGAGUACGGCCGCAAGGUUAAAACUCAAAUGAAUUGACGGGGGCCCGCACAAGCGGUGGAGCAUGUGGUUUAAUUCGAUGCAACGCGAAGAACCUUACCUACACUUGACAUCCAGAGAACUUAGCAGAGAUGCUUUGGUGCCUUCGGGAACUCUGAGACAGGUGCUGCAUGGCUGUCGUCAGCUCGUGCCG
rnacentral:rRNA from 1 species